GUGGCUAAUAUGAGCGAGCGCACGGGGGUGCUUGGGAAGACGCGGGAAACGAAGCAGAACCCCUUCCUGUCCUCCCCAAGCACCCCCGCGUGCUCGCUCAUCUUAGCCAC